rnacentral:rRNA from 1 species
AGAGUUUGAUCCUGGCUCAGAUUGAACGCUGGCGGCAGGCCUAACACAUGCAAGUCGAGCGGUAGAGAGAAGCUUGCUUCUCUUGAGAGCGGCGGACGGGUGAGUAAUGCCUAGGAAUCUGCCUAGUGGUGGGGGAUAACGUUCGGAAACGGACGCUAAUACCGCAUACGUCCUACGGGAGAAAGCGGGGGACCUUCGGGCCUCGCGCCAUUAGAUGAGCCUAGGUCGGAUUAGCUAGUUGGUGAGGUAAAGGCUCACCAAGGCGACGAUCCGUAACUGGUCUGAGAGGAUGAUCAGUCACACUGGAACUGAGACACGGUCCAGACUCCUACGGGAGGCAGCAGUGGGGAAUAUUGGACAAUGGGCGAAAGCCUGAUCCAGCCAUGCCGCGUGUGUGAAGAAGGUCUUCGGAUUGUAAAGCACUUUAAGUUGGGAGGAAGGGUAGUAACUUAAUACGUUGCUACUUUGACGUUACCGACAGAAUAAGCACCGGCUAACUUCGUGCCAGCAGCCGCGGUAAUACGAAGGGUGCAAGCGUUAAUCGGAAUUACUGGGCGUAAAGCGCGCGCAGGUGGUUCAGUAAGUUGGAUGUGAAAUCCCCGGGCUCAACCUGNGAACUGCACCCAAAACUGCUGAGCUAGAGUACGGU